rnacentral:rRNA from 1 species
AAGAUUAAGCCAUGCAUGUCUAAGUAUAAGCAAUUAUACCGUGAAACUGCGAAUGGCUCAUUAAAUCAGUUAUCGUUUAUUUGAUAGUACCUUACCACUUGGAUAACCGUGGUAAUUCUAGAGCUAAUACAUGCUAAAACCCCGACUUCGGAAGGGGUGUGUUUAUUAGAUAAAACCAAUGCCCUUCGGGGCUCUUUGGUGAUUCAUGAUAACCUAACGGAUCGCAU